UAAUGAAAACACAAAUUAGUUCAGAAGUCGCCAGAAGCAUAGAAAUAAACUUAUUAAUUUGUUCAAAAUUAAAGAAAACAAAAAUUAGAAGAAAAAAAUUUAAAAAGUUUAUAGAAUUUAUCAGAGUUCGAACUAAUCAACUAGACUUGAAAUUAAAUACAGGGGUAACGUCAUAUCCAGAUACAUCAACUGGAUAGGUAAGGAAAAAUCUAAAAAGUUUAUAGAAUUUAUCAGAGUUCGAAUUAAUCAACUAGACUUGAAAUUAAAUGCAGGGGUAACAUCAUCCAGAUACAUCAACUGGAUAGGUGAGGAAAAAUAUAAAAUUCUUGAUAAGUGGUCUAAGAACAAAGAAGAACAGAUUAAAAUGGAGAGAGAGCUGAGCAAUACACUACACAAAAGAGGGAUACUUUAGUGUUUUGUUGACAUGUCAAGCAUUUUCCAGUAAAAGGAUAUCACAGAAUCACAUUACUCUUAACACGAUUUAGAGUCUCUCUAGAGAACAGCCCGUGGAGUUGGGGCCAAUGCAAUAAUUCAAACUCCAUAAUGUGAAAAAUGAAGAAAGGGUAAUUCAUAUAAAAAAUGAAUUAGGGUUCGGGCUAGGGAUGAAAGAGCACUAACGUAGUGCUUGGCCAAUCCCAAAAUAAUACAAAAGCCUCAACUUCAAUAUACUAAAAUUUCAUUGCUUCAGCUGGCAAUAAUAGAUGAUUUUGUCCCUAGUUAGUGCUUAAGUUGAUAAAACUUAACCAUUUCCUUUAAAUAAAUAAUAAAUAGAACAAAAACUACGGUUAUUAAAAAUCAAUACCAAUUGAAGUAAAAGAGCAGCUAAAAAUAAAAACCUUAUCCUUGACAAUGGGAAAGGGUCAUGAACUUUAGAAGAUGAAAAGAUGGUUCAUAAUCUCAGAACAUGGUGCUAUGUAUGAAGGAAUGAAUCAUAGAGGAAGGAAUAAAUCACAGUGAGUAUGAGAUUUCAAUUAAGAAGUUAAUUGUAACUUUGACAUAAGGCCCAGCUAUGUUUGCCAUUUUCAGAGUGUUGUAUUACAAUUAUUGCCUCCUCUAUGAAAA